CGUAUCAGAAGUUCCAAAUGUGGAAUCAAAGGAUUCAGUGUUAAGGGUUUUGGAUUCACCAGGGUUUAGGGGCAAAGAAAAUGAGGUAUUAGUUAAGGAAUUCGGUAGGGGUAAUGAUGAAGAGAUUAGGGAAUUUGUUUUAUCAGAAUUAAAGGGUUGUGAUGUGAGAUUAAUGGGGAGUGUGAGGGCAUUGUUUGUGCAUAAACUGAUUGAUUGUAAGGUAUACGUUGGACCUGUUUUUGGGUCUGUGUUGAUUGAAGAAGUGACAAACUGUGUGUUCGUUAUGGCAUCACAUCAGAUUCGGAUUCAUCAAGCUAAAAGAUGUGAUUUUUAUCUUCGAGUGAGGAGUAGACCGAUAAUCGAG
rnacentral:misc_RNA from 1 species